CGAGCACUGAGCUUUUGUUUCUCUUUUAACUGAUCAAGUUCACCAUAUGAACUUGUUGAUGAUUGAGAAGAGGUAUUUGUAACAUUGUGUUCAUCGUGUUCAAUAACAUCACGUUUUUUGUUUUUUUGUGUAGCUUUUUCUAACUAGAUCUCUCAUUCUUCGAAAUUUCAGUCUGCCAAAGUUCCCUGUUGAUCCCCUAUUAGAAGCUUGAUUGAUAGUGCUGUCAUUG
rnacentral:misc_RNA from 1 species